rnacentral:rRNA from 1 species
GCAAGUCGAACGGCAGCACGAGAGCUUGCUCUUGGUGGCGAGUGGCGAACGGGUGAGUAAUAUAUCGGAACGUAUCCAAUAAUGGGGGAUAACUAAUCGAAAGGUUAGCUAAUACCGCAUACGCCCUACGGGGGAAAGCAGGGGAUCUUCGGACCUUGCGUUAAUGGAGCGGCUGAUAUCUGAUUAGCUAGUAGGUGAGGUAAAGGCUCACCUAGGCUUCGAUCAGUAGCUGGUCUGAGAGGACGACCAGCCACACUGGAACUGAGACACGGUCCAGACUCCUACGGGAGGCAGCAGUGGGGAAUUUUGGACAAUGGGCGCAAGCCUGAUCCAGCCAUUCCGCGUGAGUGAAGAAGGCCUUCGGGUUGUAAAGCUCUUUCGCAAGGGAAGAAACGAUACCGACGAAUAAUCGGUGUUAAUGACGGUACCUUGAUAAGAAGCACCGGCUAACUACGUGCCAGCAGCCGCGGUAAUACGUAGGGUGCGAGCGUUAAUCGGAAUUACUGGGCGUAAAGCGUGCGCAGGCGGUUUUGUAAGUCAGAUGUGAAAUCCCCGGGCUCAACCUGGGAACUGCGUUUGAAACUACAAGGCUAGAGUAUGGUAGAAGGGGGGUAGAAUUCCACGUGUAGCAGUGAAAUGCGUAGAGAUGUGGAGGAAUACCAAUGGCGAAGGCAGCCCCCUGGACUAAUACUGACGCUCAUGCACGAAAGCGUGGGGAGCAAACAGGAUUAGAUACCCUGGUAGUCCACGCCCUAAACGAUGUCUACUAGUUGUUGGGAGAGUAAAAUCUCUUAGUAACGCAGCUAACGCGUGAAGUAGACCGCCUGGGGAGUACGGUCGCAAGAUUAAAACU